rnacentral:lncRNA from 1 species
ACGCACAAACUCACAUCAGUCGGCCAUCCACAAAUCCAACAGAGAGAUGGAGAUAACCAACCAAAUAAUUCUGCAUGGACUCAAAAUUUGACUGAAUGAAGCUAAAGACCUCUGGAUAGAAGAACUAUAUCCAAUUUUAUGGACAUACCGAACGACUUCUCACAUAUCAAUGGGAGAAUCAUCAUUUAAUCUAGCUUAUGGAACAGAAGUGAUGAUCUCACUUGAAAUCGGAUUACCAUC